UGGGGAAUAUUGCACAAUGGGCGAAAGCCUGAUGCAGCAACGCCGCGUGAGUGAUGAAGGCCUUCGGGUUGUAAAGCUCUGUCUUUUGGGACGAUAAUGACGGUACCAAAGGAGGAAGCCACGGCUAACUACGUGCCAGCAGCCGCGGUAAUACGUAGGUGGCAAGCGUUGUCCGGAUUUACUGGGCGUAAAGGAUGCGUAGGCGGAUUUUUAAGUGAGAUGUGAAAACCCUAAGCUUAACUUGGGGACUGCAUUUCAUACUGGAAAUCUAGAGUGCGGGAGAGGAGAAUGGAAUUCCUAGUGUAGCGGUGAAAAUGCGUAGAGAUUAGGAAGAACACCAGUGGCGAAGGCGAUUCUCUGGACCGUAACUGACGCUGAGGCAUGAAAGCGUGGGUAGCAAACAGGAUUAGAUACCCUGGUAGUCCACGCCGUAAACGAUGAGUACUAGGUGUAGGAGGUAUCGACCCCCUUCUGUGCCGCAGUUAACACAAUAAGUACUCCGCCUGGGAAGUACGAUCGCAAGAUUAAAACUCAAAGGAAUUGACGGGGUCAUAGCUGUUUCCU
rnacentral:rRNA from 1 species